UAGAAAUAAUAAAGAUCCAUCUAACUUUAUCUCCUGAAUCCUGAGAUUAAAGCUGUCUGUCACCACCUACUGCCCUCUAUAGUUUGUUGCAGACUUUGCUUUCUGAAUCAUCAGACUGAUUAUGCACCAUAUUCACUAGAAUCCAAAAGAGAUACAAGCAUUCCUCAGAUCUAAGAGUGUUAAGAACCUGUGUUGGAUCAGAACUGCUUAGAAUAUUAGCCUGUGGGAGAAAGGACUGUUUCCAUGCCUGACUCAGGAGCUUAUUCUACCUUCAACUCCAGGGAACCUGACCCACCAAAUAUGAAGUCCAGAUAUCAUGAUUGCCAUGUUCUGAAGAGCCGUGAGUUCCACAUGACCGCUCUUCUGGAAGAUUUGCUUCAGGAAAAAUAAACUUAAAGGUCCAGGGACAUGGAGGAGCCAGAUGCAGAGGAGGACUUCCUGAUCUCCAGAAUUCCAGCUGAAACUAUUUCUCAGCAGCCAGCCAAGGCUCUCUGAAAUGUGACCCAUAAGUCAGAGGCAAACAAAGAUGACUUCUGUGGCCAAUGUAGUGUUACACAGGAAUGGAUAAGCAAAUAUCAUCAGACCGUGAAUCCUCAGAUUUACAAAACCUAGAAUUUUCAAAUAAAAAUCAUUGGAUCAGUUUUUUUCCCUUUUAUCUUGAAGGAUACAUUCCUUGGCUUUUAGAUAAGAAUCAUUAUCAUAGAAAGAGAAUCAAACAAAUAAACUUCAAAUAAAUGAGUAUUGCCACACUGACAUUUACACUCACUUAAUAAAUUUUACGCCAGAAAAACAAUUUUCCACAUCAUCCUUUAAAACUAAGCCUAGGGACAGCCAAAUGGCUUAUAGUAAAAGAGCAUCCACUGCCCACUAUGGGAGUGUGACACCCACCAGCUUCCUACCCCAAAACCCACAUAAGCUAGAAGGAGAGAAGGAAGUGCGCCACGAAAUUGUCCUAUGACCUCCACACACACCAUGCCAUUCACUUCUACAUGUACACACACCAGGCACACACAUGAUAGUAACACAUUUUAGAAUUUACAAAAUUAACCUAAAACUAUUGUCCUUAAUACAUGAAAUAUUUUAUCAAAUUUGUUUGCCCUUUAUUAAUUUUAUUUUGUAAUACAAUAACAGUUUUAAUACAUUUGAUGUCAAAACAAUGAUUUCAUAAAGAUUAUCUAUAUUUCUCAGUAUAUGUAUAUGUCUUUUAGGAAAAUUAAAAAUAAGUGACAUUAUACUUUUUAUUAAUUAGAAAUAUUUGUGCUUCGUGAACU